UACGGAGGGGGCUAGCGUUGUUCGGAAUUACUGGGCGUAAAGCGCACGUAGGCGGCUUUGCCAGUUAGAGGUGAAAGCCCGGGGCUCAACCCCGGAAUUGCCUUUAAAACUGCAUCGCUUGAAUUGUGGAGAGGUAAGUGGAAUUCCGAGUGUAGAGGUGAAAUGCGUAGAUAUUGGGAGGAACACCAGUGGCGAAGGCGGCUCACUGGACCGGAACUGACGCUGAGGCGCGAAAGCGUGGGGAGCAAACAGG
rnacentral:rRNA from 1 species